GAUGAAGAACGUAGCGAAAUGCGAUACGUAAUGUGAAUUGCAGAAUUCAGUGAAUCAUCGAGCCUUUGAACGCACAUUGCGCCCCCUGGUAUUCCGGGAGGCAUGCCUGUUCGAGCGUCAUUAAAAUCACUCAAGCUUAGGUUUACCUAUUGCUUGGUCUUGGAGAUGGAAGCCAAUUUAUUGGAAUCCUCUUCGAAAUUCAAUGGCGAAGACCCUUGCUCUCCCAAGUGUAGUAAUAACUUAUGUCACUGAAGGAAGCGAGAAAUCUUCUGCCGUAACCCCCAUAUUUUCUAUGAUUGACCUCGGAUCAGGUAGGGAUACCCGCUGAACUUAAGCAUAUAAUAAGCGGAGGA
rnacentral:misc_RNA from 1 species